rnacentral:sRNA from 1 species
CUUCCUUUCUUGCUUCCUAUCUGACUUUCUUCUUUGGAUCGAUCCUCCUGCGUGAUGCCUAUGCUUAUCAUCGUCGGAAUCGGUUAAUCUUUGUAUAUCAUAUACCGGCUCAAAGCUCAAUAACACUUGAUGGAAUGGAGAAGGGCUCAAGGCAUACUAUUGUUAACAAGGGACCUUCUCGACAUCCAUUUACUUCGGUUACUCCCGAAUACGAUGUUUUGAGGGAGAUAAUAAAGAACCUAAGGCGAACGUGCGUGCGUGAAGAUGAUGACAGGCCAUCACCCCUUGACGAUAUUUUACUGGGUGGAUAACAGAGGCGGGCGUGGAGGUGAUGACUUUGAGAUGGAAGGAGACGACGGUCGUUAUGGACAGCAGGAUAAUCGAAACCGAUUACAACAAGUCUAUAAAGACUGCCAUAUAAUAUACCCAUCAGAACCCAGAAGUAGCUCCCACUAAACUCUCAAAGCUUAUGUUCACUCUGUCUUGCUCAAAUACAGGUAACUUUGUAGACUCCUUAAGUUUUUGGGAGUCUAAGCAGAAACUUGAGACAGUGCUUGGGCCGUGAAGGGCGUAAUAAUAUUAUGACUACCAGCAACCUGCAACUUGUGCGUGACGGCAAUUUGCCGUAGUAUGGAGGAGACGAA